CAGGCCUAACACAUGCAAGUCGAACGCUAUCGCAAGAUAGAGUGGCGCACGGGUGAGUAACACGUGGGAAUCUGCCCUUCUCUGCGGGACAACAGUUGGAAACGACUGCUAAUACCGCAUACGCCCUUCGGGGGAAAGGUCCGCCGGAGAAGGAGGAGCCCGCGUCUGAUUAGCUUGUUGGUGGGGUAAAGGCCUACCAAGGCGACGAUCAGUAGCUGGUCUGAGAGGAUGAUCAGCCACACUGGGACUGAGACACGGCCCAGACUCCUACGGGAGGCAGCAGUGGGGAAUAUUGGACAAUGGAGGCAACUCUGAUCCAGCAAUGCCGCGUGUGUGAUGAAGGCCCUAGGGUUGUAAAGCACUUUCAUUGGUGAAGAUGAUGACGGUAACCAAAGAAGAAGCCCCGGCUAACUUCGUGCCAGCAGCCGCGGUAAUACGAAGGGGGCGAGCGUUGUUCGGAAUUACUGGGCGUAAAGGGAGCGCAGGCGGUUCAUUUAGUUAGGCGUGAAAGCCCCGGGCUCAACCUGGGAACUGCGCUUAAUACUGAUGAGCUAGAAAACAGAAGAGGAUAGUGGAAUUCCCAGUGUAGAGGUGAAAUUCGUAGAUAUUGGGAAGAACACCGGUGGCGAAAGCGGCUAUCUGGUCUGAU
rnacentral:rRNA from 1 species